AUUGAACGCUGGCGGCAGGCCUAACACAUGCAAGUCGAACGAGUGGCGGACGGGUGAGUAAUGUCGGGGAAACUGCCCGAUGGAGGGGGAUAACUACUGGAAACGGUAGCUAAUACCGCAUACCAUCGGAUGUGCCCAGAUGGGAUUAGCUGGUAGGGGGGGUAACGGCUCACCAAGGCGACGAUCACUAGCUGGUCUGAGAGGAUGACCAGCCCAACGGGAACUGAGACACGGUCCAGACUCCUACGGGAGGCAGCAGUGGGGAAUAUUGCACAAUGGGCGCAAGCCUGAUGCAGCCAUGCCGCGUGUAUGAAGAAGGCCUUCGGGUUGUAAAGUACUUUCCGCGAGGAGGCGUUACUCGCAGAAGAAGCACCGGCUAACUCCGUGCCAGCAGCCGCGGUAAUAC
rnacentral:rRNA from 1 species